UACGAAGGGGGCUAGCGUUGUUCGGAAUUACUGGGCGUAAAGCGCACGUAGGCGGAUAUUUAAGUCAGGGGUGAAAUCCCAGAGCUCAACUCUGGAACUGCCUUUGAUACUGGGUAUCUUGAGUAUGGAAGAGGUAAGUGGAAUUGCGAGUGUAGAGGUGAAAUUCGUAGAUAUUCGCAGGAACAUCAGUGGCGAAAGCGACUUCCUGGACCAAUACUGACGCUCAUGUGCGAAAAGCGUGGGGGAGCAAACA
rnacentral:rRNA from 1 species